GGACAUAUCAAUUUGAAACAUUGGUUCCCACACGAUCAGCGAAUUUAAGCAACAUCGAGCCUGGUCAGUAUCGCGAUAGGUGAUCACUUGGGAAUGCCAGGUGCU